GAUGAACGCUGGCGGCGUGCCUAAUACAUGCAAGUCGAGCGAACAGACGAGGAGCUUGCUCCUCUGACGUUAGCGGCGGACGGGUGAGUAACACGUGGAUAACCUACCUAUAAGACUGGGAUAACUUCGGGAAACCGGAGCUAAUACCGGAUAAUAUAUUGAACCGCAUGGUGCAAUAGUGAAAGACGGCUUUGCUGUCACUACUAGAUGGAUCCGCGCCGCAUUAGCUGGUUGGUAAGGUAACGGCUUACCAAGGCAACGAUGCGUGGCCGAACUGAGGGGGGGAUCGGCCACACGGGAACGGGGACACGGUCCAGACGACUGCGGGAGGCCGCAGUAGGGAACCUGACGCAAUGGGCGAAAGCUUGACGGAGCAACGCGGCGUGAGUGAUAAAGGUCUUCGGAGCGUAAAACUCUGUUAUUAGGGAAGAACAAAUGUGUAAGUAACUAUGCACGUCUUGACGGUACCUAAUCAGAAAGCCACGGCUAACUACGUG
rnacentral:rRNA from 1 species